CCCAUCGAUGACCAAGAGUUAAUCUCCUACAUCCUCAUCGGCCUCGACUACGAGUACAAUCCUAUCGUGUCUGCCCUUGUUUCAAGGGCAGAUGCAAUUAGCGUUGGGAAGGUAUAUGCACAUCUGCUCAGCUUUGAGC
rnacentral:snoRNA from 1 species